UACGGAGGGUGCAAGCGUUAAUCGGAAUUACUGGGCGUAAAGCGCACGUAGGUGGUUUGUUAAGCUAGCUGUGAAAUCCCCGGGCUCAACCUGGGCACUGCAGUUAGAACUGGCAAGCUAGAGUAGGGUAGAGGGGUGUGGAAUUCCAGGUGUAGCGGUGAAAUGCGUAGAUAUCUGGAGGAACAUCAGUGGCGAAGGCGACACCCUGGACUCAUACUGACACUGAGGUGCGAAAGCGUGGAGAGCAAACAGG
rnacentral:rRNA from 1 species